rnacentral:lncRNA from 1 species
AUGUCCAUACGGAAGAAAGAGGUGGUUGAUGAUAUUCGGGACUUAUUUGAAGUGUGUAAGCCUUUAAACAUUCCUGCGUCGGAUUUCGAAGAAAUUAAAGUUUUUACUCCUACACCUAUUAUGCGGACAGUUCUGGCCGUCGAGAAAUGUAUUGAUAGACCUACUCGAGAUCUUAUCGCGUGGGUCAGUCUAUAUACUCGACGAAAGAACCUGCGAACUGAUCAUCAUGUAACUCUUUUGUCCCCAGACCCUAACGCACGGUACAUAAGACAUCCUCACCCACGCCAACUUGGAAAGUUUCUCUCCGUACUUCCUAGAUUAAAUAAUGUGUGUAUAUGUUACUCUAGUGCAUUUGUCAUGCCAGAGGUAGAGCUCGGAGAUGUGAUUACCACUAAUUUAGCAAGGAAUAUGGGAUUGAGUACUACUAAGAGUGAUGGAAUUGGUCAGUUCUUAUCUAUGGGGGCCACAGAGCGUAAUUUGCGUGAUUUCCGGAAAAUCAUCUUAGCUAUGAUGCUCCCGAAUCAGAUCAUGCUGCAUAUUAAUAGGAACGAAGACUUGAGUAACGUUAUGAAUGCGCUAGGUGCUAUAUGUGCUAAGCUGCUCUUAUCACGGACUGAUGGGUACACCAACGUGACCACGGACUCAGCUGACUUUGUUGAUGGUCUCCUCCUUGAUUUCCUCUAUACUAGUGGAGUAGCCCAGACUAACCGUGCUGACCCUAGGAAUUUCCAAGUUCAGGGUAAGCGUGCCGUCCUAGCUAACGCUUGGAAGCAGGUUAUCGGAGCUACGGACAGAGGGGGGUGGAUCAACGAGCGGCACCGGGGUUAUGUUGUGAUCGACUCGCCUCUCUAUGAUAAUGUUACGCAGUUGCCCUGUUACGCCGGCGUGACGGUAUAUGCUACUAAGGAUUCUUUCACUGAGGAGCGGACUCUGCCAUACCCUCCAGUUCUAGCUAAUAUUAUUACAGCUUUGGCUAACACAGGUCGGCAGAAUUCAGCUCCUCAACAGAUAAAAUCCGUAAUCGAGGACUUAGCAAUCAAUUGGGUGACAUCAAUUAGUAUGAUGAACGAGUUCAUACUACGCACUGGUGAGACCGGUUUCAGAUUACCGACUGUGAGAGCUACCUCAAUAACAGAUCCCAAUACCCUUGCCCGCCCUGGCGCCAUCAGUGAUUCAGCUAUGGUGUUAGACGUGAAUUUAUCUUCGCUAAUGCUGUUCUUCAGGCAGAUGCCUUGUAAGUUUGUGCCCAGUACUUACUUACCCAUGCAGCCUGUCAUGGAGAGCGCUAUUUCAGCGGAACUUCAGCGUCUGUAUUCAUUGCUGAUCCUGACGAGGGAGCGAGUGCAACGGGAUAAGCGCGACAACGCACAGUCUCGUUCCGUGCGUCGCCGAGGUAGGACCUUGAUCUGGUAUCCCACGUAA